rnacentral:rRNA from 1 species
GACGAACGCUGGCGGCGUGCUUAACACAUGCAAGUCGAACGGAAAGGCCCUGCUUUUGUGGGGUGCUCGAGUGGCGAACGGGUGAGUAACACGUGAGUAACCUGCCCUUGACUUUGGGAUAACUUCAGGAAACUGGGGCUAAUACCGGAUAGGAGCUCCUGCUGCAUGGUGGGGGUUGGAAAGUUUCGGCGGUUGGGGAUGGACUCGCGGCUUAUCAGCUUGUUGGUGGGGUAGUGGCUUACCAAGGCUUUGACGGGUAGCCGGCCUGAGAGGGUGACCGGCCACAUGGGGACUGAGAUACGGCCCAGACGCGUACGGGAGGCAGCAGGGGGGAAUAUUGCACAAUGGGCGGAAGCCUGAUGCAGCAACGCCGCGUGCGGGAUGACGGCCUUCGGGUUGUAAACCGCUUUCGCCUGUGACGAAGCGUGAGUGACGGUAAUGGGUAAAGAAGCACCGGCUAACUACGUG